GCCUUGGUGGCUCAGUCGGUUGAGCAUCUGCCUUCAGCUCAGGUCAUGAUCUUGGGUUCAAGCCCCAGGGCA
rnacentral:tRNA from 1 species